rnacentral:misc_RNA from 1 species
UUUCCGUAGGUGAACCUGCGGAAGGAUCAUUCAUAAUAAAGUGUUUUAUGGCACUUUUUAAAAAUCCAUAUCCACCUUGUGUGCAAUGUUAGAUCUCGUCAAUCUUGGCGAGAUUUUUAUACAUCAACUCAUUCUUUAACUAAUUUGUCUGAAAAAUAUUAUGAAUACCUAAUUCAAAAUACAACUUUCAACAACGGAUCUCUUGGCUCUC